AACCUCCGCAAUGUGAGAAAUCGCGACGGGGGGAUCCCAAGUGCCAUUCUUAACGGGAUGGCUUUUCUUAAGUGUAAAAAGCUUUUGGAAUAAGAGCUGGGCAAGACCGGUGCCAGCCGCCGCGGUAACACCGGCAGCUCUAGUGGUAGCUGUUUUUAUUGGGCCUAAAGCGUUCGUAGCCGGUUUGAUAAGUCACUGGUGAAAUCCUGUAGCUUAACUGUGGGAAUUGCUGGUGAUACUGUUGAACUUGAGGUCGGGAGAGGUUAGCGGUACUCCCAGGGUAGAGGUGAAAUUCUGUAAUCCUGGGAGGACCACCUGUGGCGAAGGCGGCUAACUGGAACGAACCUGACGGUGAGGGACGAAAGCCAGGGGCGCGAACCGGAUUAGAUACCCGGGUAGUCCUGGCCGUAAACGAUGCGGACUUGGUGUUGGGAUGGCUUUGAGCCGCUCCGGUGCCGAAGGGAAGCUGUUAAGUCCGCCGCCUGGGAAGUACGGUCGCAAGACUGAAACUUAAAGGAAUU
rnacentral:rRNA from 1 species